rnacentral:miRNA from 1 species
CACCUCAUUGACUGGAAGGAAUCCCUUCUGGUCGAUGAGGUUGUUACACCUCAUCGACCGGAAGGAAUCCCUUCUGGUCGAUGAGGUU